CGAAUGGAUUGGGUCUUUAGCCCAUACGACGACGCUGCUGAGGCUUCCAUUUGACGCUCUCUCUUCCCGCUCAGUCCUCUCAUUUCCCCUCCGAUCGCUCGUUUCCUCGCUUUAGUCGUUCCCCCGAUUCCUGCAUCGACAAAACCUUAGAGCGAGCCUGUGCUUCUCCUUCGAUCGCUUGAUUCCUCGAAUGGAGAAACCCAAUGGCGUGCCCUCCCUUGCUUUUCUGAUCCCCGAUUACCUCUCGCCAUUGGUGGGCGAGGUAUUUCCCUUUGGAGUUAGGGUUCGAAGCGAAAGAGUACUUUCUUGCAGACGGAAAAUUAUUGCAGUGAGAUGAGAACGACAUUCAAGAGACUCUGAAUGUUCCGAGACGAGAUCAGAGAGGACACCAUUGCGCAGCUAGAUGAAUGUAUCAAACGUUGAACGCCAGCAUGGAUAAGACGAUCAACCUGGCGGCCAUUUGUACCCCUGCAGAAUACAAUACCCACCUACUGGAUACCAUAUACAGCAAUUUCUUCAAUGCCCCUCCGGUGGUUAAGUAUUGCUCUGAAAACAACAAGCGGCUCAUUCACUUCUCCACUUGUGAGGUGUUGGGAAGACUAUUGGAAGCUUUCUCCCAAAGGAUCUCCCUCAGCGAGAGGUGCGGGUGCGGGUGCGGGUGUGGGUAACCUGCUAGAAUAACAUGCUACAACAUCGUCCAAUGACGUGCUUACAAUUAAAUUUGUCUGUCUUAAUUUUAACUUUUAUGUUGACAAGUGUUUUUUAGAUUAAAACAUGUGAUAACUCAUUUGUCAUGUGGACUAUAUAUAAUUAUUGAUAGAUGGUUCUUACUUUACACUUGAAGUGUAACAAGUUACUUGUCUCUCACAAUUGGCAUUAUAGGGUCUUCUCUUCUCUUCUCUUCUCUUCUCUUUCGCUUUCUUUCCUUUGGUUGUUGGUCUACGGAAGUGUUUUUCAAAGCUCUUAUAUUGAAGAUAUGGGUUAUUUCUUUGUUUUUUUAUUUCUUUUGUUGUUUCUUGAUAAACGGUAUAUUUCUUUCGUUAUUUCUUUUGUUGUCUCUCACAUUCUUUUCUUAAUUUACAGUAUUUCGGUACUUACCGAAGUCUUAUGCAUACUAUCAAGCAGGAAUUCUACAUUAGUAGGAUAGGUCAUUGUUCUCUGACUUUAUUUAUGGAACCAUUCCGUAUUUGUUAUUAUUUUCUUUUCGUUUCUUUUUCCCUUCAUGUUGUUAGGCAUUUAAUCAUCUAAUGCUUUAAAUUAGGCCAAUCUGUAGUUUCAUCUUUAUUUUUUGUUUCUCUUUUUUAGUAUGUUUUUUUGUUCUUUCUAUCAAUUCUUUAGGGCAAACCAAAUCAUUAUUUAACCAAUUAUGAGUUUUGCAGCACACAUUUUCUUCCUUUUCUUUUAUCUUUUUUUUUUAGUCGUAUAUGUUUUCUCUCAUCUAUCAGCCUUUCUUUUGCUUCAUUUUUUUCUUUUCUCCAUUUCUUUUUCUUGUUACUUUUAAUUAUUUCUACUCUAUGAAUGUUUGUUUUGUUUCUUAUUCUGCUAUUACUGUCUUUGUAUCUUUGUGGAUCUUCUUUAAAUGUUUAAUAAAUUUUUUUUUUAGUCAUUACACCAUUUUACUUUGCUUAUUUUGUGUAGGUUGUGUUAGAACUACAAAGUUAUAGUCAAAUACACAAGACUGCAAUUAGAGGAGUGGUAAGUUGCUUGUGCAAAGAUUGUGUACCCGUCUGCAGCUCCUACUUGAUAUUAUAUGGGCUUCUCAAAUUGCCUGAGAACAAAGAAUGUGCUGAUUGCAGAGCCAAGUAAUUAUCCAGGAUCAUGUUGUUCCUAUUCUUGUUAUACACUUCGCUUUUCCUUCCAAACUUAGAGGAACUCCAUAUUUUUAAGGGUAAACUUCAAAUUGCCCCUUGUGGUAUAGCUCAUUUUUACUUUGCUAUCCCGCAGUCUAAAAAGUUUCGCUUUGCCCCACUUUGGUUGAGAAAAAUGUGUUAAACCACAGAGGAACAAAGUAAAACUUUUUAAACCAUGAGGUGACAAUAGUGAAUAUGAGCUAAACCACAUGGGGGCAAGUGAAACUUUUUAAACCAUGACGUUGCAAAGUGAAAAUGAGCUAUACCACAAUGGGGCAAUUUGAAGAUUACCUUAUUUUUGAGCUUGAUUUUCAACAAUUAUUUCAUAAUAUUUUUUAUGCUAUUUCCUUAUGCAUUUGUAUUUCAAAA